rnacentral:lncRNA from 1 species
UUGAAUUUUGGAGAAUGUAAGAUGCCAUGACUACAGAGGAACAGAAAAUUAUGCUACAAUCAAUAUAAUAAUUAUUGUACUUAAUUUUACAUAGUUCUACCAGAGUAAAGACAAAUAAAAUAAUUUAGUUUUACCAAAAUAAGGACAAAUUAAAAGUAAGAUAUGAUAAGUUUGUCCCUGUUUACACUCCCUCCGUCCGUUUUCACUUUGGUAGAGUUUAUGUAUGAUUACACUCCCUCCGUUCAAAUAAGAACUAUCUGCUAAUAAGAACAAUGUUCCAAUAGAAGUGUAAUUAUACAUAAUUCUAUCAAAGUAAAGACAAAUAAAAUAAUAAAACAAAAAUUUGGUUCUUAAAAAUGCAAGAAAUCCAUAAAUCUCACCAUUGAUUGAUCUAAUUUAUCUAAAGCUUGAUCAUUACGUCAAAAAUACAAAUUUUGAAGGCAAGACUAUACAAAAUAUAACGAAAAUUUUUUGAAUAAACUGUUUUUGUCUAUAUUUUUUAAUUACUGAUAAACUGAGGUCGAAAAGGCUGUCAAAUUACUGAUAUAGUCAUCUUUUCGUAACAACAACUUGAUAUAAUGAUAUCCUUAAGGUUUAAAACUGUCGCUAGCUAUCUAUGAAUUUCUCCUUGAACUUUUAAUGAAUUUGUUAUAUGGCUUUUUAUAUUAAUGAAAUAAAUUGUUACUUUAACCAAAAAAACUUCAACUACAUCUAAGAAAUUUUAGUCCCUUGUGAUUGAGAAAGUGUGUUGAUAGUCUUGGAACUCACAUUUCAUUCUAUCCAAAGUAGGCGCAUUUAUCUGUGUGAUGAUGCCCCUUGGUUCCACAUAUUUCACACACAAUAUGUUGGUCUCCAUGUGGAAACUCAAACAACUUCCUCUGCUGCCGCAAGAAAUGUUUCGUCAAGUUAUCCUUUCCAUAGCAGUUGGAUUGACAUUCCUCUACAUUAAAAAAAAUGACAUUUGUUUAUGCAAAAUAUCAAGAGUACAAUAUUUUAAGCACGUUCUAAUUUUUGGAGGUCCAAGAGUAAAGUGUUUGUAUGCUAAUGAACAUAAAAGAUUGUUCUUUUUGGUAAAUCAAAACAGUGGUGUGUGAGCAACCUUACCCCUACUUUGUGAAGGUAGAGAGUUGUUUUUCGAUAGACUCUCAUCGCUAUUUUUGGAUAUGCUUCUGAAAAAAACAUAUUUACAUAAAUUUUUAACAACAAUUGCUAGAUGCAAUAUAUAGAAUUGACUGAGCAAAAGAACAAUCAAGUUCAUUUAUUCUUUCUUAUAAGUAUAAAGUUUAUACCUAUUACAACAUAAAAUAAACUUGAUUCUUUAUUUAAUUCAUUUAAACAACAUUCCUAGUGAUUAAAUAUACUCAAAAAUAGAACAUAAAAGUGAUUUAAAUAUACAAAAUAUAUACAACUUUAAAGAUAAAAUAUAGGCAAGAAAUACAAUAAUUUCCUUUAUUUUCAUUAUUGCUAUGCAUACAAGAUAUGAAAUAUUUUUCACACUUUAAACUGCAGUGCUAGAGUAUAACUUCAUAAUAUUAGUUUGUCCAUGUUGUUUUGUGUACCCAUAUUUUUGCAAUUUCAUAAACCUGGCAUAGGCUUUGACCCAACCAUAUUUAUUUAAAUCUUUAAGUUUCAUUAAUUUCUCAAUUGUUGUUAAUUCACAAAUAUAGCAAAAAACAUACACCUACGAAUUGUAUGAUAAAAGUGCAUCCCUUCAGAAGGAGCAAUAUACAUUGAGCACAUAAGUUCCCAAAUGAAAUCUAAAAUCUAUCCCAAUCAACUCGAAAAAUGAAGUAAAAUAUUAUAACGGAAAUUGAGAAAAAAGAAUGUAAAAGAGGAUAUAUCUUAAAAGAAUUAAUAAAAAAAAUAGAGUAUAAUUUAUACAUAUCUCAAGAACACAUGAGGAAUUUAACUCCUGGGCAAAAAUCCUAUGUGCAUUUGGUGACUUUUUUGAUUGCUUGAUCAGCCUUUGGAAUGAGAGAAUAUAAUUUUACUCUUAAACCCCCAAUUUUCAUUCAAACCUUAAAAUAAAAAUCUAUAACUCCUAAGCAAACAAACAAACAAAUAAUAACAACAUAACCUUAGAGCAUAGAGUCAUGACAACACACCAUUAAAAUAAAAAUAUGAGAGUUUGAAAAAGUCAUUGACAAGAAAUUGAAAGUGAUAAAAUAUAGAGACGGUAAACCUCAGAAAAGGAUGUGUAAUUCCCCUCAAACUAACAAAAAGAGGCCUCAUUUAAAGGAUCCACAAUUCCCCCCUGCCAUGAAAUUACACAGCUAUAGCUGGACAACAAUAUCACAACUCAGAAAUUACAUAGCAUAUAAUAAAAUAAAUCAAGGAUCUAAAGAACCAAAACUGUAUCAUAUUGCUCUUCACCUGACAUGGAUAAAUUUCAUAAAUAUUUGGCGUUUAUGCUUUAUAGAUUCUCUUCCUCUUCCAUGUCGUGUGUUUCCAAUUGGGAUAUUUAACAGUAUAGAUGAUUUAACUCGUAAUCCAUAAGCGUUGAACCGUUAGGAGAAGAAGAGAUUUGAGGGAGAUGCUCCAUAAUUUUGUCUAUGAGGCGUUGGCAAUUGUUUAUUAAUAAUAAUAAUCUAGAAGUUGAGGAAAAAGAUCUAGA